ACGCUCGACACCUACGGGAGGUAGCAGUGGGGAAUAUUGCACAAUGGGGGAAACCCUGAUGCAGCGACGCCGCGUGAGCGAAGAAGUAUUUCGGUAUGUAAAGCUCUAUCAGCAGGGAAGAAAAUGACGGUACCUGACUAAGAAGCACCGGCUAAAUACGUGUCAGCAGCCGCGGUAAUCUGAGCGGGCUGGCAAGGC
rnacentral:rRNA from 1 species